rnacentral:rRNA from 1 species
UAGUCCUAGCUGUAAACGAUGGAUACUAGAUGUAGGAAUUGGUUUAACGAUUUCUGUAUCGUAGCUAACGCGUUAAGUAUCCCGCCUGGGGGAGUACGGUCGCAAGACUAAAACUCAAAGGAAUUGACGGGACCCCGCACAAGCGGCGGAGCAUGCGGCUUAAUUCGAUGAUACCCGUAGAACCUUACCUGGACUUGACAUAUAGGGGAAAAUUAUAGAAAUAUAAUGUGCAUUAGCGUCCUAUACAGGUGGUGCAUGGCUGUCGUCAGCUCGUGUCGUGAGAUGUUGGGUUACGUCCCGCAACGAGCGCAACCCCUGUCCUAUGUUGCCAGCAAGUAAUGUUGGGGACUCAUAGGAGACUGCCGGGUGAUAAACCGGGAGGAAGGUGGGGACGACGGUCAAGUCAUCAUGCCCUUAUGUCCAGGGGCUGCACGCAUGCUACAAUGGGCAAGUACAACGAGUCGCAAUACCGCGAGGGUGGGA